rnacentral:rRNA from 1 species
AUGAACGCUGGCGGCGUGCCUAAUACAUGCAAGUCGCGCGAACAGACGAGGAGCUUGCUCCUCUGACGUUAGCGGCGGACGGGUGAGUAACACGUGGAUAACCUACCUAUAAGACUGGGAUAACUUCGGGAAACCGGAGCUAAUACCGGAUAAUAUAUUGAACCGCAUGGUUCAAUAGUGAAAGACGGUUUUGCUGUCACUUAUAGAUGGAUCCGCGCCGCAUUAGCUAGUUGGUAAGGUAACGGCUUACCAAGGCAACGAUGCGUAGCCGACCUGAGAGGGUGAUCGGCCCACCGGGAACGGAAGACAGGUCCAGAAUCCUACGGGAGGCAGCAGUAGGGAAUCUUCCGCAAUGGGCGAAAGCCUGACGGAGCAACGCCGCGUGAGUGAUGAAGGUCUUCGGAUCGUAAAACUCUGUUAUUAGGGAAGAACAAAUGUGUAAGUAACUAUGCACGUCUUGACGGUACCUAAUCAGAAAGCCACGGCUAACUACGUG